rnacentral:rRNA from 1 species
GACGAACGCUGGCGGCGUGCUUAACACAUGCAAGUCGAACGGAAAGACCCUGCUUUUGUGGGGUGCUCGAGUGGCGAACGGGUGAGUAACACGUGAGUAACCUGCCCUUGACUUUGGGAUAACUUCAGGAAACUGGGGCUAAUACCGGAUAGGAGCUCCUGCUGCAUGGUGGGGGUUGGAAAGUUUCGGCGGUUGGGGAUGGACUCGCGGCUUAUCAGCUUGUUGGUGGGGUAGUGGCUUACCAAGGCUUUGACGGGUAGCCGGCCUGAGAGGGUGACCGGCCACAUUGGGACUGAGAUACGGCCCAGACUCCUACGGGAGGCAACAGUGGGGAAUAUUGCACAAUGGGCGGAAGCCUGAUGCAGCAACGCCGCGUGCGGGAUGACGGCCUUCGGGUUGUAAACCGCUUUCGCCUGUGACGAAGCGUGAGUGACGGUAAUGGGUAAAGAAGCACCGGCUAACUACGU